ensembl:snoRNA
AUCCAAGUGGCCCUCUCGCCCUCUCAGGGCAAGUAGCAACUUGGAAUAAAAUCCAGCUUGCCUGAAGUCUCUGGGGGCCAGGGGAUGCUGAUUUCCUUUGCCUUCCUUUGGCUGCCUAUAUGU